GAUGAACGCUGGCGGCGUGCCUAAUACAUGCAAGUCGAGCGAACAGACGAGGAGCUUGCUCCUCUGACGUUAGCGGCGGACGGGUGAGUAACACGUGGAUAACCUACCUAUAAGACUGGGAUAACUUCGGGAAACCGGAGCUAAUACCGGAUAAUAUAUUGAAUCGCAUGGUUCAAUAGUGAAAGACGGUUUUGCUGUCACUUAUAGAUGGAUCCGCGCCGCAUUAGCUAGUUGGUAAGGUAACGGCUUACCAAGGCAACGAUGCGUAGCCGACCUGAGAGGGUGAUCGGCCACACUGGAACUGAGACACGGUCCAGACUCCUACGGGAGGCAGCAGUAGGGAAUCUUCCGCAAUGGGCGAAAGCCUGACGGAGCAACGCCGCGUGAGUGAUGAAGGUCUUCGGAUCGUAAAACUCUGUUAUUAGGGAAGAACAAAUGUGUAAGUAACUAUGCACGUCUUGGCGGUACCUAAUCAGAAAGCCACGGCUAACUACGUG
rnacentral:rRNA from 1 species